rnacentral:rRNA from 1 species
UACGGAGGGGGCAAGCGUUGUUCGGAAUUACUGGGCGUAAAGGGCGCGCAGGCGGCUGCUCAAGUCAGGCGUGAAAGGCCUGGGCUCAACCCGGGAAUUGCGCUUGAGACUGGGCUGGCUUGAGUGCGGGAGAGGAUGGUGGAAUUCCCAGUGUAGAGGUGAAAUUCGUAGAUAUCGAGAGGAACACCGGUGGCGAAGGCGGCCUUCUGGACAGUGACUGACGCUGAGACGCGAAAGCGUGGGGAGCAAACAGG